rnacentral:rRNA from 1 species
UACGAAGGGGGCUAGCGUUACUCGGCUUGACUGGGCGUAAAGGGCGCGUAGGCGGUUUGUACAGUCAGACGUGAAAUUCCUGGGCUCAACCUGGGGGCUGCGUUUGAUACGUGCGGACUUGAGUUCGGAAGAGGGUCGUGGAAUUCCCAGUGUAGAGGUGAAAUUCGUAGAUAUUGGGAAGAACACCGGUGGCGAAGGCGGCGACCUGGUCCGAUACUGACGCUGAGGCGCGAAAGCGUGGGGAGCAAACAGG